rnacentral:rRNA from 1 species
GUUGACAGCCAUACUACUUUGAACAUGCCCAGUCUCCUCUGAUCUCUGAAAUCUAAGCAGGGAUGGGCCUGAUUAGUACUUGGAUGGGAGACCUCCCGGGAAUAAUAGAUGCUGUAGGCU